AGAGUUGAUCAUGGCUCAGGACGAACGCUGGCGGCGUGCCUAACACAUGCAAGUCGAACGGAGUCAAGAAGCUUGCUUUUGACUUAGUGGCGGACGGGUGAGUAACGCGUGAGUAACCUGCCUCUGAGAGGGGAAUAACGUUCUGAAAAGAACGCUAAUACCGCAUAAUGUAUCGAAGCCGCAUGACUUUGAUACCAAAGAUUUUAUCGCUUGGAGAUGGACUCGCGUCCGAUUAGUUAGUUGGUGAGGUGACGGCUCACCAAGACCGCGAUCGGUAGCCGGACUGAGAGGUCGAUCGGCCACAUUGGGACUGAGACACGGCCCAGACUCCUACGGGAGGCAGCAGUGGGGGAUAUUGCGCAAUGGGGGCAACCCUGAACCGCAGCAACGCCGCGUGAAGGAUGAAGGUUUUCGGAUUGUAAACUUCUUUUAUCAGGGACGAAGCUUGACGGUACCUGAUGAAUAAGCUCCGGCUAACUACGUGCCAGCCGCCGC
rnacentral:rRNA from 1 species